rnacentral:rRNA from 1 species
UGGGGAAUUUUGGACAAUGGGGGCAACCCUGAUCCAGCAAUGCCGCGUGUGUGAAGAAGGCCUUCGGGUUGUAAAGCACUUUUGUCCGGAAAGAAAACGCCGUGGUUAAUACCCGUGGCGGAUGACGGUACCGGAAGAAUAAGCACCGGCUAACUACGUGCCAGCAGCCGCGGUAAUACGUAGGGUGCAAGCGUUAAUCGGAAUUACUGGGCGUAAAGCGUGCGCAGGCGGUCCGCUAAGACAGAUGUGAAAUCCCCGGGCUUAACCUGGGAACUGCAUUUGUGACUGGCGGGCUAGAGUAUGGCAGAGGGGGGUAGAAUUCCACGUGUAGCAGUGAAAUGCGUAGAGAUGUGGAGGAAUACCGAUGGCGAAGGCAGCCCCCUGGGCCAAUACUGACGCUCAUGCACGAAAGCGUGGGGGAGGCAAACAGGAUUAGAUACCCUGGUAGUCCACGCCCUAACGAUGUCAACUAGUUGUCGGGUCUUAUUGACUUGGUAACGUACUACGCGUGAAGUUGACCGCCUGGGGAGUACGGUCGCAGAUUAAANUCAAUGAUUGANGGGUC